AGUAUGGACAGCCGAUCGGCCUUGGAAGUGGUACAUAUACUAAUUAUUUGGGAACACUUGCCCGGAAUGGUAAAUUAGCUCCUUUGUGCUACAAAACUUGGUGGGAGAUGCCAAAACGGCUUAAAGAGGAUAUGUGGAACAUUGUAAAGGGAAAGUAUGAUGUGGGAAUCAUGUCAAAAUAGUGGACAUUAUCCUUUAUCAGAAAAAUAUGGAGGGGGUACAAGUGUGAAUGAAAAAGUGAAUACUACUCGGUUAGGGAUAUCGAUGCAGAAAGAUUGGCAAACCCACCACCUGAUGUUGAAAAGGAGCAUUGGGAAUUUUUGGUUAGGCAUUGGGGUACGCCUAUGGCGAAGGAGGUCAGCAAAAAAAAAACAAAGAACGUCGUGGGAAGUAGACAAUGAUGCAUACUACAGGGACAAAAAGCUUUGUACAUGUUUCUGCUGAGGUUA